AUGAAUAAACUUGGCAUGCUGAUGCUGACCUCUCGAGGUAUGUGCACGCUUGUCAUCUUUAUAUCUCCACCUGUGCACUUCUGUGGGACUGGAAGCAGAGUGAUGAGCUUGCCUCUUUGAUCUUUACUCUCAGUUCUACGUUUUUUUCAUACCCACCUUUGAAUGUAAAUGAAUGAUCACUAGGUCGUUGAACCUAUAAUAAAGUUAUA
rnacentral:misc_RNA from 1 species